UCAGGCCGGGCCUCCGCGCCGCACUGCGCACGCGCGGCGUCGCCGGGCUCCGCCCCCCGAGUAGGGACCUACAGCGGGCGCGGCGGCAACGGCGGCCUGGCGCUGGCGGUGUAGACACCCUCCCCCUCUCCGCGGGACCCAAACCAGCCGGCCCGUGUUGCCUGGAAUAUCAGAGAAUUGGAAGCAGUCACGUUUGAGGACCCUAACCUGCUUUAUGAAGAGAGAUAAUUAAGUGUGCUCCUAGGUGCCCUGCCACAAAGCGUGUCAAGGAUGCUUCCUGAGGAUUUUAUCAUAUGGAAUCUUUCUGGAUUUCAGCAGGCUUUUUAGAGAUGCAAAUGAAGAGAUGAAGGACAUUGGACAGCAACUCUAUAGCACACCAGUGGGUGACGGACACAAUGCCUUGACCAUGUCACCCAAACAGCCUAAUGCUCAUCGAGGGACUCGACCAGACAGACCGGACACUCAGACUCUUCUGUAUCAAGGCUCUGAGGCAGAGUCUGCUGCCAUGACCAUUGCUACAUGUGUAAAGUGCAAGAAUGUGCAUGAGGUCCCACUUCAGGAUCUGAAAAAGGAUACUGGACAAAGCCAGAAGGAGGACAAAUACGUUUGCUUCAAAUGCAGCCUUGGCGCAGCCUCUCCCCAUUUCCACUUUGUGAAUAACAGUCGCAAUGCUACUCAAGUAGGAAAUAAACCUGAAGCCAUCUCAAGUUCUGUCAAUCACAAGUUUAAGGUAAGGAACUUCAAGCCAGGCAAAUACUACUGUGACAAAUGUCGCUUUUCCACAAAGGACCCUCUGCAGUACAAAAAGCACACACUUCAGCACGAAGAGAUUAAGUUUGUCUGUUCUCACUGCGGCUGCAUUUCCUACACGAAAGGGGAGUUUCAGAGACACCUGGUGAAGCACACAGGCGUGUUCCCUUAUCGGUGUGAGUUCUGUGACUAUGGUGCCAUCAGAAAUGACUACAUCGUCAAACACAGGAGGCGAGUCCACGAGAAGGCGGGGGCCAAACGGCCGCCCAAAGCCGUCGCCAGGCUGGAGCCAAAGAGGAUCAGCGCCUCCAAGCAAAACCCAGAGCUUCCAAAAACUUCCAGGACUGCAUUUCAAAAUAAGUUGUCAGAUCAGCUCUCAAGCUUCUCCCCCCACGCAAGUAAAGACAGGACGCACAGCAUCACGUUGUUACCUGAAUCCAAAGACUACCAGAAAGACGUGGUGUGCAUCCCACACAAAGGGGCCCUGUCAGAGCCCACUGAGGUCAACCUGCUGGAGAACAAAAGUGUGGAGGUGGAGGUCUUGUCCCCCUCUAAAGAGCCCGUGCAGCCGGGGAUGCCGUUAACGGUGGUGGCACCAGCCGAACUCGUCGUCCCCGCCAACUGUCUAGCCCAGCUGAUGGACGUGAAGGUUGUCAACGGAACGCAGCAGCUCCUGCUCAAACUGUUUCCCCUGGAAGAAACCAACAGCCUUGAUGCCAGUGGAGGUGAUGGUGGUAGUUCCGAACGUGGGUCUAAAGAGAGAGGUGCAAGCGAGCAGGAAAAAAUGGCUGCCACAGAGCUCACGCAGUCCCUCGCGAUCGAAGGGACUGUCGGAAAACUUGCAGGCAUCGGUAGUCUACAGUCGUCAGUUCAGAAGCCACUUAAAAAUGUAAAGUGGAUGAGGUCUUACGAUUUUUUCAUGCCAAAUUCUGGCAGGCACAGCAGCGGAGAAUCCCUGCUCAACCCAGGGAGAGUUGAGAGUUUGCAGAAAAAAGGUUACACGUAUCCCCAUAGAGCUGCUCUGCCUUCCUUUGCCUUCAAAGGCCAUUCUCCAUUAUCUCUAGUGAAAAACGGUGUCUUACGUAGUCUUGGAACCUCAUCAAACUCUUUUCCAUAUAAAGCUGCCCUUUCUUUUACUGAAGACAGAAGAAACUUACCCAGUGACCCACAGCAGUUAUUUCCUGUCUCUGCACCGCCUGCAACCAUUUCCUUCUCUGGAGAAAAGGACUCACUGCCCCUAUGUCAGAACGACUUGGGCUCUAGUAAUGAGAUCAGCCUUCCUGCAAAAACGGUCACCCCUCCCAGGAAGCUGCAAGACAACCAGACACAGGAGUACAAGGCAGUUUCAAACGCAGGCCAGGUUUCCUCUCAACACAGAAGUGAGUAUUUACACAUCAACAUAAUGGGAGAAGACAGAGUCAGAGCCCAACAGUCCGGGGAUAAACCUCUGGAAUUAAAGAAUCCCGACAAGACUAAUGACUCCUUCGAUGGCCCAGUCAUCUCCUCUGUCUUUUCUCUGAGCUCCGGAUCUGAAAACGUCCCUGAGGGCGUCAAGUGGAAUAGUUCAACGUCCAAAAUAAAGUCAAUUGAACUCUUGCGCAGAAAGAUAGCCCAGUUAAUCGAAUCCUGUGGGAAGCCUUCAUCUCUGGCUGCUAAUAGCGCCCACCGACAUUCUGUAGGGAAGGCAUCUAAGGUCACUUCAAAAGCCACACCUGAAGGCAUCCAGGAAAUUAACGUAUCCUUCACCAGCACUGGCUAUUCCACGGGCACACUCCCCAGACCUCAGGAUGCCGGUGGCGUUAGUGGACAGCUCGCACACCAGCAGGCGUAUCCACAGCUUGUCGAAGGCAACAGUGGGAAAACUGAAAGCAGAGUGACCAAGAAGCCACACGUGGCUACUCCAGUGUUGAUCCCCAAGGGGGCCGUGUUGAGGGUUUUUAAUUCCUCUGAGGAUUCCCACAUCAUAGAGGCAACCUGCGAAGCACCUGUCAACAUCCCGUGCACUGAGACGCAGUUAAUAAAGCCCAUUCCGCUCUGCCCAAUGAAACGGACAGACCCAGACGUACAGUUUCUGAUGAGUGAAAGUGGGCCCAUAGAUAUGUCCCCAAAUCACGAUCUGUCUUUUCGGCCUAAAUCACGAAAAGAGAGUGCCCAUUGUAGCACUGUGCCCAAAAAACCUGGAUCCAUGCAUGGCCCACAAGGAAGCAGUGAGAUGAGCAAGCAAGCAAAACUGUUUCCCAGAAGUCUUCCCAUCAGUAAAAAUAAACCCAGACAAAUCAGCUCAUCCAAGAAGAAAAGCAAAAUGCAGACUGACCCCAGCCGCUGUUUCAGGGAUCCUUCCAUUUUUCAGGUUGCAAGACAGCUUCGACUGAUCGCAGCUAAACCAGACCAGUUGAUCAAAUGUCCCCGUCGGAACCAGCCCGUUAUCGUGUUAAACCAUCCAGACGUUGACUCACCGGAGGUGUCCAAUGUGAUGAAGGUAAUAAACAAGUACAAAGGCAACGUCCUCAAGGUGGUGUUGUCGGAGAGGACUAGGUGUCAGUUGGGCAUGAGGCGGCACCAUGUCCGACUGACCUACCAGAAUGCGGAGGAAGCCAAUCAGAUCAAAAGGCAAAUGAUGCUGAAAAUGAAACUGAAGAAGGUUCAUAAAAACAACUACCAGGUGGUGGAUUCCUUGCCUGAUGAUUCAUCGCAGUGUAUAUUUAAGUGCUGGUUUUGUGGGCGGCUCUACGAGGACCAGGAAGAGUGGAUGAGUCACGGCCAGCGGCAUUUGAUAGAAGCAACCAGAGACUGGGAUGUUCUUUCUUCCAAGGGCAAAUAAGUGAAAAACCGGUCUCGGAAGCAUGGUGUUUUUGCUACCUUUCAGUUGGUCCUGGUUUGGGUGGUUUGGUUUGUGUCCCUCCCUGACUCAGUAGGGGAAAUAGAGUAUGCAGGGAUGGGAGGGCGGGUCAGUCUUGAGAUCUUCCUGGGAAUGUGGAGAGCCACGUGUCUGAGCCCAAGCCAGGUGCCUGGACCUCAGAAGGGUCUGUGUCCCUGAAGGAGUGUGCACAGGUUCACAUAUAUGCAUUUGUUUGGGGAGAAGGGAAACUCAGAACACAUUUUCAGUGGGAUCUGAGAUUUCAGUCAGCAGCCUUUUUCUGAGUAGAUAACACAUCUUUUCUUAUCCAUUCAGAGGGGCAAGUUUAGAACAUUUGACACACUCUUUAUAUAACAAAAUGCUACUGAAGAAUUAAACCCAGAUCUUGGUGUGCACAUCCCCCUUUUUUUUUUCUUUUUGUGUUAACUCAUCUCCUAAAUAUUUGGUACAUAAUGGAGAUACAUUUGCUACUUCAUUUUCUUAAAUUUGGUUAUAAGAAAGUGGCAUUCUUUUAAAUCCCUCACCCACUCUGUGGUGUUGCUGAGUGUUCACUGUAGCACAGAGAAAUUGUGCUUUUGUUGACCCCUUUAAAGCAUGAUUCCAAAGGUUGGCCUGAGUUUGCAACAACAGCAGAUGUUAGGGGAAGAAUAAAAGAUUUUCAGGCUUUUGCUUGCUUUUCAAGUACCUUGAUUUAUGAUGGUGGGGGAGGGAAUGUGCCUUUUUGGAAGAAGAAAAAGAGAAAAUACCUAAAGUUGUCUCCUGUUUGCCCUUACCAUUCUCCUGAAAGUCGGCUGAGUAAUACAUGUCCACUGUGAGUGAACAGGCUCUUUUGAACUCGGAUGAACUUUGGGGAAACAAGUCGAGGACAUAAUGAUGUAAGCCACUCCAGAAAACGAAGAUGUGAUGCUGCUCAGCCUUUGGGAUAUUUUUUGAAUCUGUCAGUGUCCGAUUGAGCAGAAAACAAAACAUCACAUAAUACGUUGUAAGCAUUAUUAUAUGUCCUGCAUUAACAGUCUGUGUGUCUGCUGCUCUGACUUUGAAACAUGUUAUGUAUAUAGAUAGAGACGUUGGCGUAACUUUUGUUAAAUAAAACAACUGUAAAAUUC